rnacentral:rRNA from 1 species
AUGUGGAAUGAUGAUCUCAAAGUUUCUGUUCAUAGCGCCUCCUUUCAUUAUAUCUUAGCGAACGUGGUUCAUGUAGCUUUGGGUGUUCACUUUUGUUUGAUAUGUAUAUAUGGCGAUCCUUAUCAUAGGCAAACUGGUACUAUUUGGAAUCAUGUUACCAAUUUUGUGUAUGAUAACCUGGGUAAGCCUAUGAUCUAUAUGGGCGACCUCAAUGACAUUCUGUAUGAUGCUGAUAUAUGUAAUGGUAGUAUGAAUUAUUAUCGUAUGUCUACUUUCUGUUCUUUAAUUAAAAAUUGUGGUUUCUUUGAUAUCGGUUAUAGUGGACCUGCUUACACUUGGCAUAAUAGACAGCACACUGCUAAUCCUAUUUAUAGACGUCUAGAUCGAUGUCUUGUUAAUGCCGAUUGGUGUGCUCACUAUCCUAAUACCAAGGUGCUUAAUUUGCCCAUUAUUCUUAGUGAUCAUGCUCCAAUUCUCAUUUCUGCGGAUGGUAAUUUCUCUAAGCCUAAACAAACUUUCAAAUUUGAAAAUUGGUGGUUGCUUGAGAAAGACUUUAGAGAAUUUGCUAAAUCAUCUUGGAACACUGCUAGGUCUGCUUCUUUUUGGCGAAAUCUUCUUCUCUUGCAGGUUCUUUGA